rnacentral:rRNA from 1 species
UACGUAGGGGGCUAGCGUUGCUCGGAAUUACUGGGCGUAAAGCGCACGUAGGCGGCUUUCUAAGUCGGGGGUGAAAUCCUGGAGCUCAACUCCAGAACUGCCUUCGAUACUGGAAAGCUCGAGUCCGGGAGAGGUGAGUGGAACUGCGAGUGUAGAGGUGAAAUUCGUAGAUAUUCGCAAGAACACCAGUGGCGAAGGCGGCUCACUGGCCCGGUACUGACGCUGAGGUGCGAAAGCGUGGGGAGCAAACAGG